GACAGAGGGUGCAACCGUUGUUCGGAAUUACUGGGCGUAAAGGGCUCGUAGGCGGUUUGUCGCGUCGGGAGUGAAAUCCACUGGCUUAACUGGUGGCUUGCUUUCGAUACGGGCAGACUGGAGGUAUGCAGGGGAGAACGGAAUUCCUGGUGUAGCGGUGAAAUGCGCAGAUAUCAGGAGGAACACCGAUGGCGAAGGCAGGUCUCUGGGCAUUAACUGACGCUGAGGAGCGAAAGCAUGGGGAGCGAACAGG
rnacentral:rRNA from 1 species